GUCGCUACUCAGCUUAUUGCCUAAGAUCAAAAUGUAGUAUUUAUUCUUAUCAUCUUAAUCUCUGGUACAAUCUCCUUAGGGGACCCAGAAGAUUAAACUGCUUUUUUUUUUGGAAAAAUGACGUCGUACUAAGGGCUUGCUCCAUCUUUGUGGAGGGUAUUAAUUUUA
rnacentral:snRNA from 1 species